rnacentral:lncRNA from 1 species
ACAUCCGCAUGGAAUCAAAUUAGGCAAAGAAAUAACAAGUGGCUCCCAAGCAGUUGGACAUGGGAUCGACCGGGAUCACAGAGACAUUCCUUAUGUACAUAGCAGGCCCUUCUGAAUAAACUACCUAUAAUAGACAAUAUGAAAAGAAGAGGUAUCCAUCAUGUUAACCGAUGCUCCCUUUGCAUGCAACAAGAAGAAACUGUUGACCAUCUCUAUUUUGCUUGUGACUAUACUAAAUGGAUAUGUAAGGAGAUUCUCCAGCGAUUCGAACUCAAUAGAAUGCCGCAACCAAACUUGCAUCAAGAAUUAGGUGACCUCAUGCAAUGUUUUUCAAGAAAAGGGCCUCUUACACAAUUGACAAAGGUUAUAUUCAGAUGCACUAUUUGGUGGAUGUGGAAGGAACGAUGUAGCAG